ACCUGACUGCUAUCGGAUUGAUACUAAGCCAUGCGAGUCUUUGCAGUAAUGCAAGGCAUACGGCUCAGUAACACGUAGUCAACUUACCCUAUGGACGAGGAUAAUCUCGGGAAACUGAGCAUAAUACUCGAUAGAUCAUAAUGCCUGGAAUGGUUUAUGGUUAAAACGAUUCGUCGCCAUAGGAUAGGACCGCGGCCUAUCAGCUUGCUGGUGAGGUAAUGGCCCACCAAGGCGAUUACAGGUACGGGCUCUGAGAGGAGAAGCCCGGAGAUGGGUACUGAGACAAGGACCCAGGCCCUAUGGGGCGCAGCAGGCGAGAAAACUUUGCAAUGUGCGAAAGCACGACAAGGUUAAUCCGAGUGAUUUCUGCUAAAGAAAUCUUUUGCAAGUCAUAAAACCACUAGUGAAUAAGGGGUGGGCAAGUUCUGGUGUCAGCCGCCGCGGUAAAACCAGCACCUCAAGUGGUCAGGAGGAUUAUUGGGCCUAAAGCAUCCGUAGCCGGCUCUGUAAGUUUUCGGUUAAAUCCAUGUGCUCAACGCAUGGGCUGUCGAAAAUACUGCAUAGCUAGGGAGUGGGAGAGGUAGACGGUACUCGGUAGGAAGGGGUAAAAUCCUUUGAUCUAUCGAUGACCACCUGUGGCGAAGGCGGUCUACCAGAACACGUUCGACGGUGAGGGAUGAAAGCUGGGGGAGCAAACCGGAUUAGAUACCCGGGUAGUCCCAGCUGUAAACGAUGCAGACUCGAUGAUGCAUUGGCAUAUAGCCAGUGCAGUGUCGCAGGGAAGCCGUUAAGUCUGCCGCCUGGGAAGUACGUACGCAAGUAUGAAACUUAAAGGAAUUGGCGGGGGAGCACCACAAGGGGUGAAGCCUGCGGUUCAAUUGGAUUCAACGCCGGA
rnacentral:rRNA from 1 species